rnacentral:lncRNA from 1 species
UGUACAGGCCAAUUUUGGGCCACCCCAAAACCCAACUAACCUACCCUAACCUAAACAGCCCAAUACCCAUAAGCCCAACUAAUACAUCAGCCAACCCAAAAUUUAAACCCAAACAAAUCAAAACCUUAAAGCCCAAAUGGCCCAAAAUCUAAAACAUUUUUCAGCAAAAUUUCAGCAGCAAACCCUAGCUGGCCGUCGCAUGCCUCACGUGGCCUCCUCAUCUGCCACGC